UUACAUCCGCUGAGAAACCAACUAGAAUC
rnacentral:sRNA from 1 species